GACGAACGCUGGCGGCGUGCCUAAUACAUGCAAGUCGAACGAAGCUGUUUUAACUGGUGCUUGCACCGACUUAAACAACUGAGUGGCGAACGGGUGAGUAACACGUGGGUAACCUGCCCCAAAGCGGGGGAUAACAUUUGGAAACAGAUGCUAAUACCGCAUAACCACAGAAACCACAUGGUUUCUGUGUCAAAGAUGGUUUCGGCUAUCACUUUGGGAUGGACCCGCGGCGUAUUAGCUAGUUGGUAAGGUAAUGGCUUACCAAGGCAAUGAUACGGAGCCGAACUGAGAAGCUGAUCGGCCACAUUGGGACUGAGAAACGGGCCAAACUCCUACGGGAGGCAGCAGUAGGGAAUCUUCCACAAUGGACGAAAGUCUGAUGGAGCAACGCCGCGUGAGUGAAGAAGGUUUUCGGAUCGUAAAACUCUGUUGUCAGAGAAGAACGUGUGCGAGAGUAACUGCUCGUGCAGUGACGGUAUCUGGCCAGAAAGCCACGGCUAACUACGUGCCAGCAGCCGCCGCGG
rnacentral:rRNA from 1 species